rnacentral:rRNA from 1 species
GCACGAAAGUGUGACGGGGCUACCCCGAGUGCCGUCCGCUGAGGAUGGCUUUUCCCCGGUGUAACCAGCCGGGGGAAUAAGGAGAGGGCAAGACUGGUGUCAGCCGCCGCGGUAAUACCAGCUCUCCGAGUGGUAGGGACGAUUAUUGGGCUUAAAGCGUCCGUAGCCGGCUUAGCAAGUCUCCUGUUAAAUUCAGCGACCUAAUCGUUGAGCCGCGGGAGAUACUACUAGGCUAGGAGGCGGGAGAGGUCGACGGUACUUUCGGGGUAGGGGUGAAAUCCUAUAAUCCCGGGAGGACCACCAGUGGUGAAGGCUGUCGACUAGAACGCGCUCGACGGUGAGGGACGAAAGCUGGGGGAGCGAACCGGAUUAGAUACCCGGGUAGUCCCAGCUGUAAACGAUGCGGGCUAGGUGUUGGGGUGGCUACGUGCCACUUCAGUGCCGCAGGGAAGCCAUUAAGCCCGCCGCCUGGGGAGUACGGCCGCAAGGCUGAAACUUAAAGGAAUUGGCGGGGGAGCAC